CGAUGAUCCGUGGAGCUGAUCUGGCUGACGGGAAGGAGGCUGAAAUCAUGGUGACUGCUGAUUUCCUCCUUCACGGUGGCUGGAUCAUGGCUUGAUUGGUGCUGGGACGUUCAUCGCGUGAAGAACGCGGGCUGCUGGGGCGGACGUGGGAGGCUGGAUCACGACUUGGAGCGGCUGAAGAUCAAGGUUUGGAUGCGGUUGGAGGAGAAACGGACGCGUGAUCCUCUCUUCUCCCCUGUUUCCGCACGGGCUGGGAUUUGAUCUGGAAGAUGAGCAUUGGGACGUUGUGGCUUGCUGAUUUGGAAUUCCUUCUUUGGACCACUGUUGGGAGGCGGGAGUGCAUCACGGUGGGAAGAAGCUCUGUGGAUCAUUUGUGAUGUGCGGAAGAGCUGGAAUGCUAGGAGGACGCCGAUCGUGGCCACGGUGGAGGCCGGGAUCACGGACUAGCGUCCGCAUCACGGGCGGCUGCACGCGAUAAUAGGAGAGGCGGUCAUCUGUGCUAACAUGAGGUCAAUUGCAAGUCUUUCAAGUCCCAGCACCUCAUAGUUAUGAUAUGGUCAAAUUAGAUUUUCCCAAAAUUCUUUCCCAAAAGCACAAAGAAAUUGGACCCGAUUCGGACCCGACCCCGACUCGGACCCGACCCGAUCUUC
rnacentral:lncRNA from 1 species